UUGCUCACUUAGGCUUUUGCCUGGGGCAUUCUUCUGCGGGCAGGCCAGCAUCAGUUUGGGCGGUCGGAUAAAGGUCUCUGUCAUGUAGCUUCCUUCGGGAAGAACUUAUAGGGGAGACGAAAUGCGACCAGCCUGGACUGAGGUCCGCGCUUCUGCUAGGAUGCUGGCGUAAUGGCUGUAAGCGGCCCGUCUUGAAACACGGACCAAGGAGUCUAACAUCUAUGCGAGUGUUUGGGUGUCAAGCCCGAGCGCGUAAUGAAAGUGAACGGAGGUGGGAACCCUUUGGGUGCACCAUCGACCGAUCCUGAUGUCUUCGGAUGGAUUUGAGUAAGAGCAUAGCUGUUGGGACCCGAAAGAUGGUGAACUAUGCUUGAAUAGGGUGAAGCCAGAGGAAACUCUGGUGGAGGCUCGCAGCGGUUCUGACGUGCAAAUCGAUCGUCAAAUUUGGGCAUAGGGGCGAAAGACUAAUCGAACUAUCUAGUAGCUGGUUCCUGCCGAAGUUUCCCUCAGGAUAGCAGUAACGUUUUCAGUUUUAUGAGGUAAAGCGAAUGAUUAGAGGCAUGGGGGUUGAAACAACCUUCACCUAUUCUCAAACUUUAAAUAUGUAAGAAGUCCUUGUUACUUAAUUGAACGUGGACAUUUGAAUGUAUCGUUACUAGUGGGCCAUUUUUGGUAAGCAGAACUGGCGAUGCGGGAUGAACCGAACGCGGGGUUAAGGUGCCAGAAUGCACGCUCAUCAGACACCACAAAAGGUGUUAGUUCAUCUAG
rnacentral:rRNA from 1 species